rnacentral:rRNA from 1 species
UACGUAGGGCGCAAGCGUUGUCCGGAAUCACUGGGUGUAAAGGGUGCGUAGGCAGAUGGAUAAGUCAGCGGUGAAAUCUCACGGCUCAACCGUGAAACUGCCGAUGAUACUGUCCAUCUUGAGUUCGGGAGAGGUCGAUGGAAUUCCAGGUGUAGCGGUGAAAUGCGUAGAGAUGUGGAGGAACACCAGUGGCGAAGGCGGCUCUUUGGUCUGUAACUGACGCUGAGGCGCGAAAGCGUGGGGAGCAAACAGG